rnacentral:rRNA from 1 species
CCUACGGGGGGCAGCAGUGAGGAAUAUUGGUCAAUGGUCGGGAGACUGAACCAGCCAAGCCGCGUGAGGGAGGCAGGUACAGAGUAUCGUAAACCUCUUUUGUCAGGGAACAAAGGCGGGGACGUGUCCCCGGAUGAGUGUACCUGAAGAAAAAGCGUCGGCUACCUCCGUGCCAGCAGCCGCGGUAAUACGGAGGAUGCGAGCGUUAUCCGGUUUUAUGGGGUUCAAAGGGUGCGCAGGCGGUCUGUUAAGUCAGCGGUCAAAGCCCGGGGCUCAACCCCGGCCCGCCGUUGAAACUGGCAGUCUCGAGUUGGAGAGAAGUAUGCGGAAUGCGCGGUGUAGCGGUGAAAUGCAUAGAUAUCGCGCAGAACUCCGAUUGCGAAGGCAGCAUGCCGGCUCCACACUGACGCUGAGGCACGAAAGCGUGGGUAUCGAACAGGAUUAGAUACCCUUGUAGUC